rnacentral:lncRNA from 1 species
GCGAAACAGAGGGUGAGUAAUAUCGAGGAUGAACGGAGGUAGAAGAGGAACAAGAGAGGAGAGCACUGAUGAAUGAGACUUCGUAGGUGGUGAGGAGUGAUGUAAUCCAAAGAAGAAUGGAAAGACUCCUCUAGGUCAACCAAAGAAAGCAGAAUCUCAAGAUGUGGGGUAUCAUUAUCCUCUUUUAAUUCUGAAAAGGCUUCCUGUGUAUCAGCUUAGAAGGGUCAAGUGAGGAGGAACUCAUGAAAGGCUGCAGCUCCAGGAGUUCCCAACACGGCUCAGUGGUUAACAAAUCUGACUAGGAACCAUGAGGUUGCGGGCUUGAUCCCUGGCCUUGCUCAGGGGGUUAAGAAUCCGGCGUUUCUGUGAACUAUGGUGUAGGUCACAGACAUGGCUCGGAUCCCGAGUGGCUGUGGCUGUGG